GCGGCAGGUAGCCUAGUGGUUAGAGUGUAGAGGAGGCAGGUAGCCUAGUGGUUAGAGUGGAGGGGCGGCAGGUAGCCUAGUGGUUAGAGUGUAGAGGUGGCAGGUAGCCUAGUGGUUAGAGUGUAGAGGUGGCAGGUAGCCUAGUGGUUAGAGUGUAGAGGCGGCAGGUAGCCUAGUGGUUAGAGUGGAGGGGCGGCAGGGUAGCCUAGUGGUUAGAGAGGAGGGGUGGCAGGUAGCCUAGUGGUUAGAGUGGAGGGGUGGCAGGUAGCCUAGUGGUUAGAGUGGAGGGGUGGCAGGUAGCCUAGUGGUUAGAGUGGAGGGGAGGCAGGUAGCCUAGUGGUUAGAGUGGAGGGGCGGCAGGUAGCCUAGUGGUUAGAGUGGAGGGGUGGCAGGUAGCCUAGUGGUUAGAGUGGAGGGGCGGCAGGUAGCCUAGUGGUUAGAGAGGAGGGGAGGCAGGUAGCCUGGUGGUUAGAGUGUAGAGGAGGCAGGUAGCCUAGUGGUUAGAGUGUAGAGGAGGCAGGUAGCCUAGUGGUUAGAGUGUAGAGGUGGCAGGGUGGCCUAGUGGUUAGAGUGUAGAGGAGGCAGGUAGCCUAGUGGUUAGAGUGGAGGGGAGGCAGGUAGCCUAGUGGUUAGAGUGUAGAGGAGGCAGGUAGCCUAGUGGUUAGAGUGUAGGGGAGGCAGGUAGCCUAGUGGUUAGAGUGUAGAGGAGGCAGGUAGCCUAGUGGUUAGAGUGUAGGGGAGGCAGGUAGCCUAGUGGUUAGAGUGGAGGGGCGGCAGGUAGCCUAGUGGUUAGAGUGGAGGGGUGGCAGGUAGCCUAGUGGUUAGAGUGGAGGGGUGGCAGGUAGCCUAGUGGUUAGAGUGGAGGGGAGGCAGGUAGCCUAGUGGUUAGAGUGGAGGGGAGGCAGGUAGCCUAGUGGUUAGAGUGGAGGGGCGGCAGGUAGCCUAGUGGUUAGAGUGGAGGGGCGGCAGGUAGCCUAGUGGUUAGAGUGUAGAGGAGGCAGGUAGCCUAGUGGUUAGAGUGGAGGGGCGGCAGGUAGCCUAGUGGUUAGAGUGGAGGGGAGGCAGGUAGCCUAGUGGUUAGAGUGGAGGGGAGGCAGGUAGCCUAGUGGUUAGAGUGGAGGGGAGGCAGGUAGCCUAGUGGUUAGAGUGUAGGGGAGGCAGGUAGCCUAGUGGUUAGAGUGUAGGGGAGGCAGGUAGCCUAGUGGUUAGAGUGUAGGGGAGGCAGGUAGCCUAGUGGUUAGAGUGUAGAGGAGGCAGGUAGCCUAGUGGUUAGAGUGUAGGGGAGGCAGGUAGCCUAGUGGUUAGAGUGUAGAGGAGGCAGGUAGCCUAGUGGUUAGAGUGUAGGGG
ensembl:lncRNA